AGCGGCUCGCAGUCCUGUGGGCCGUGGGGUGCAGUGAGUGCAGAAGUGCUCUUGGACGGCAAAGGGGUCCCCAGACAUAGAUGGCACCAGAAUGUUCAGCCUUGAGCUUCCUCCUCAGGAACAAAAGAGGAGGUGUUUAAAUCGCUGUGGAGGAGUGGUGGUCCACAGCUGAAAACCCGAGGCCCCAAGUGUGAUCCCUUUUAAAGCCUUGUACACUUUUUGUCGUGUUUGUCUUUGUCUUCCUGUAUCUUUCCCUCUAGUGAUCAGAGCUGAAAGUCUCAGGAGAGGCUGCAGGCUUAUUAUGGGAGUAAGCGACGGGAAGGGGUAACUCUGGUACCUGCAGCCUGCCCCAGAGUCAGGCCUUGUGAGGAGGAGCCCAGGGGAUGGAGGGAGUGAGGACAGUGUUGAGGAGGAAAGGGAGAAAGGCCACAUCCUUGAGGCCUGUGCUGUAGACAGAAAAGGGCUGGCCGGGGCUGGGAAAGGAGGUUGGUGGCUCAAUGUCUCUACAAGAAGCCCCCAAGUUAGGUCACAGUCCCUUCAGGUACACUUUUGAAGUAGGGUUGUGAAAUUUGGAAAACAACAAUCAAAAAGCCCCGGGACACCAGGUAAAUGUGAAUUUCAGAUAAAAAAUAAUUUUUCAAUAGAAGUAUUUUAUCUGGUAAUCCUACUUCAAAGGCUGGUUCUCUGAGAAAAAUCACUCUGUGUUUUGCUUUUAUGCUUUCCUUCCCACUCUUAUCACCUCCAGUCAGCACUUAUCUCUCCUGAGGGCCCUGCCACAGCCUCCUGACUGAUCUUGCCUGUUGUCUCCCUCCCCUCCAGGUCAAUCUGCACUCUAGAAUACCAGAUUACAUAAUAACCCUGCUCAGAGAAUACAAAUGCUGAAAGGGACUUUGUUGUAUUCAUUCAUUCAUUUUCAAAGUAAUCUCUACCCCCAAUGUGGGGCUUGAACUCACCACCCAGAGAUCGAGUCACAGGUUCUACUGACUGAGCCAGCCAGGCACCCCUGAAGGGGACUUUAGAAUCCAUGUUUCCACAGUUUCUUGGACACAUCUGAUGAGGUUUUUGGGGUGAUAGUGGGGUUCAUGGGGUUGGAGCCAACAGCCAAGAAAGAAUUCUUGAAGACAUCUUAGGUGCAAGAAAGGUGAUUUGAUUAAAGCACGGGGACAGAACCCGUGGGCAGGAAGAGCUGCCCUGGGACCAUGAAGAAACACUGGUUAUAUAUACUAUGGAGCUGGGGGAGGUAAAGUCCAGGGGAAGUUUCUAGUGAGACUUUCAUAUGCUAAAGAAGGCUCACAGGAUAUUGGCGGCCUUGCCUGUGGAGAGAAGGUUGUUUUCAUUCUAGCAAAGCCAUCAGCAUUGAGACUGUAGGAGUUCCUGGAGAAACGUUUUACUCUGCCAGCCUCAAGUAUUUGUCAAUGGGCUGCAGGUUAUUAGGAAAUUUAAUUCUAUCUGCCAUUUUCUUCUGCUUUUGUUUCCCACAUCAACGUCUGUAAGGGAGACCAGGCAAGGCACUUUUCGAAAGGAAAACCAAGGCCCAAGGUGGGAUUAGUUAUGUCAGGCCGAGUCACAAACCUGGGCUUCAUACCUAACCUAAUUGCAGUUUCAACCUCUCCCAGAAAUGUAGUCUUAACUGGUCCGUCGGGAGUGUCUGGUCAGCACCGACAAGGCAGUUUGUCACAAGGGCCCUCUCCAGCCUACAAAGGAGGGUGAGGUAAUCUGCAUGAUAAGACCCCUCCCGCCUCCCCCUGGGGGAAUUUCUUCGGGUUAGCCAACAGAGGAGAGAGAGGAGAUGGGGGGAAAACUAGAAAGAUAAAGGCCUGCCUCCACGGCCUUCUCACGCUCCUCAGUGCCUCCGAGGUCAGAACUCCAUUUUCAGCAUCUGACCCCCUUGUAACAAGCAGGAGCCCUGGAGUCUACCCAGAUCCUGGUCUGGCCAGGGAACCCACUCAUGGGGCAUGUGGGGAUGGCAGCCCUCCAGAAGCACCAGUUGGGGAAAAAAGCUGGAAUCUCAGACCUCAUUGCCCGCUCCACCCCUUCCCACACCCAUCCUGCUGCUUCCCCUUGGGCUCUGCUACUGAAGCACUGUAGGGCUCCCUAGACCAUGUUCUGGGGGCCUCCCAGAAAGGGGAAUGGAUGAGGAAAUCCGUUAACUGGACCUCUCAGGCCCCCUUCCCGGUUAAAGCCCUCCUCCCCCAAGCAGGACCCUCUGAAAGCCCUGUCCCCCCUCCCCCCGCAGCUCCAUACUGGGUGUGGGGGCGCAAUUGGCCUGCUGGACCAAGGGCAUGGUGGCUGUACCACCUGAGCCACUGCACCUUCUCCCUACAGAGCUUCCUCAGGACCUAUCCCGGGACCCAGAGCCAGCAAGGAGGGGACAGUCAACCUAAGUACCGCUCAGGUGGUAGGGACAUCAGGGGAGAUCAGAGAUUGGGAGGGGGAGUUCUUAUGACCUACAUUUCCUACAGCCUCUGUGGAAAAGCCAAGAACUGAAGGGCCACUGCUCCCGCUCUCUCUCUUUUAAAAUAAUAAGCAUUAAAAAAUAAAAUAAAAUAAAA